GCCGGCGGCGCGGACCUCCUUGUCAAUGGGAGCGCGGGGCCGGGCUGCCCGCAGGACGGUCAGGUGGGCCCCCCAGCUCGCUGCCAGCGCGGCCUCUGUCCCUCUCGGGCCGGCUCUCCAUCUUGUCGCCCGUAGCCCGCCUUCUCCGUGGCUCUCCAGCCGCUGGGGCCGCAGAGCCGAGGCCGGGUUACCUCAGGAAACGCGAUGUGGUAGUGGGUCGGAAUAAACCCGCGCGCCCCAGAAUUCGCCUUGGGGGCGUAAGGACAGAUUCGGACUUUUCGUUUCCUAUGUCCACAUUUAUUGAGCACCUAAUAUGUGACACCCGAGGCUGUAAGAAGAGGAACGCAGCGGGCGGAGAAAAGCCAGAGCUUUUUCUCUGUGAGCCGCUGCCUCCAGGGCCAUAGCCGACCCUGCUCCGAGAUCCCAGCCGCCGCUCUCCGUGCAGGAGGGGUGCCCACCCUGGGGAGGCCAGGGUGCCCGGAGUGGAGGGACAGGGCUUCAAGCGACCGGGAGUUUCCAGCAAACCCCUGAUCCCUGAGCAGUUUAUUUUAAAAGCUUUUGCAAAUGUUGGACGGUUUCGUUUGGUGGAGGCCGUCUUUGCACUAAAUUCUCCUGUCCUCCCCCUUCGAAACGCACAAAAUGAAUUUUGAACAGAUUUUGGAUGAGAGGUUUUCUUCCUUUUUUCAUCUUCUGAAACAUUUCCCCCUCAUUUCUUCUCAGAUAAAGACCCAGAAACCCGGGACAGUUACUCGGUGUACAGCUAGUCAAAUACUGAGGAAACCAGUCGAUAUUUGCCAAAGAUUGGGCAUGUUCUGGGUGGUCUCAGAUUUUGAAGAAACGACUUUUUUACUGCACAAAAUAGUUUUACAAUCAGUUCCAUCAGACAGCCCCAGGGGCUCUCCUAGGGAAAGGGGCCAAUAGGCAAGGUUGCAUGGGGAUAAGAGAGGCAAGCGGCCAGUGGAAAACGGUUUUUUGUUUUUUUUUUCCUAACAGUUGGGCAUUUCUGUAGCUCUGAAAGCAAACUUGUUUGUUUCAUUUCAACGAUAGAAAAAAAACACUCCUGUUUUGGAAAUGUAACCCAGCAUAAAAAUACAUUUGCAAUGGGGAAAAAGAAAGCAGUUUAGGGCCACCCAGAAGAAAAUAUUUUUUCCCUGAUUUUUUUUUAAUUUGGUAUUUCCCAGUGUGGGUUUGCCUCAUUUUACAAAUAGCUGCCCAUGUCAAGAUGUGGGUAUGUGAUUUAAAUAUUUUAAUUUGAAUCACAUUUUACAUAGUCUAGGAAACUGACAAAAGAAUCCUAUAGAGAAUUGUUUUAUAAAGUGAAUAACUGCUUCUCUACCUACCCGCCCCUCUCAUUCUUCUUUUCUGUGCGUGUUUUUGGGGGGCUGUUAUGGGAUAAAUCUUGUUUGGCUUAAAAAUCACUAAAACGCAGCCUUUCAAAUCCAAAACAGAGAGCUUAGGUACCCAACAUUCUAUAGAAUGUAUUAUUUCCUCAAGAGGUUGCUAGGAACAGUUAUGUAGAUCUACCAGGUGCAGGGAAGCACUCCACACCCUCACCCAGGUCCUGUAUCCCUGCAAGACUGCGUUGGAAAGACUGAAGAGGAAGCUAAAGAAUGAUGCGCUCCACCACAAUGAGGGACUAAACAACAAAAAGGAGGCAUGAGAUUCAGGAAGCAAAAAAGGAAUUCAUCAUAUGAAGGAAUGAAGAUGUUCAAAAGAAAACCUUCAACCUCAUGCCAGAAGAUGUUCCCAGCUGUAUAAAUGCCUAACUCAGCUUCUAGUCCUUGGAAAUUAAGCAGCUCAUUGAAAAUUCAAGAGUUCCAGCCAGAAGCUACAGCUAGGCUCAGAUGUUGAAAUCAGUCUCUCCUGCUGAUCAAACUGUGACAUAGCCAAAGCAAUAGGCCUGGCUUUUCAGUUAAUUCUCAGCGAGCCCUUCCUUUCCCUCUGUAGUGGUUGGUGUGGCAUUUAUAAUAUAACUCCUUUAUGUACACUGUAAACCAUUCCUUCUCAGGGCAGAUGGAAGUAUGAAAUCUAUCUAUUUCAGUCUAUAAAAUUAUAUUUAGAGCGUUAGGUAAUGAAUGUCCUAGUAAAGUCGGCAGAGGACAGGUAGGUUAAAUGACAAGUAAGGAAUGACAGGCAGGUAGUAGAUGAUAAGAGUUGCAGAACAGUUUGGGGAGAAGGACUUUAUUUUUAAAUGCCUUUAGUAACACUACUACUACUAAUAUAGCAGUAAAGUACUUUUUACCCAUUAAUAAAUGGGUAAAAGUAAUUUCAAGUUAGCAAAUUUCUCAUUUAUAUGCAGUGUUUCAUAUAACAAUGGCUCAAUCCUGAUCCUUGUAGGAAACUACCUUAACCAUUGUGUAUUUUUUCAGCUUUUAAUGACUAUACAAGCACAUCUUAUCAUAUUUUAUAUUUUUUACAUAAAGAAGUCAUGCAACUUACACCAUGAACAUCUUUCCAUAUCAGGUCAUAUGGAACUUUUUCAUUCUUUUUAACAAUUGCAGAAUAUUGUGGGAAGUAGUUUAAUUUACUCAGCUAGUCUUCUAAUGAUGGACAUUUGGCUUGUUUACAAUUUCCAUUCUUUCACAAAGCCUGCUGCAACAAAUAACAUUAUUCAUAUGGCAUUUUGUUUAAGUGUGAGUAUAUAUGUAGGAUAAAUUUCUAGAAAGUAGACUUGCUGGAUUAAAAGUUAUGUACAUUUUAAAUUUUGAUAGAUAUUGCCAAAUUUCCAUGCAAAGGAUAAAUUUCUUUGUGUAGAAUUGCUUGGUUGCAUGGUGUAUGCAUUUCAUCUUUCAGAAAUGUUGUAUCAGUUUAUAUUCCUGGGCAAUAUGGGCAAACAAGAUAACCUGAAAAUCCCCCUAGAAAGACACCUAAAAUAUUAAAAAAUAUGUAACAAAUAUCUCAUGUAUAGAACUAGGCUUGCAAAAAAGUAAGGCAAAUCCCCAGGGAUCAAAAAAUGAAGAAGCUGAAAACCAAGGGAGGAAGCAGACAUUGAAGCCACUGAUGCCCUGGGGCAUUUAUAGUUGCAGGUAACCAAGAUGCUUGGUGUUUAACAGCCACAUGAAGAUAAGACCUUGGACCCAGCAAGGUGUAGAGAGGAGCCAAGACCCUCACAAGAAUCUGGAACCCUCAAGCACUAAAAGAUGGAUAGAAAAAAAUAACGAGCGAAAGGAGAUAAUAAGGCAAAUUGUCUGGCUUGGCUUAGGCAUACAGAGUAAAAACGAAAAGUAUGUACUGAGAAUUUAUAACCACAGGCCUGCCCUCAAGUGGGAUAGGAGUUCUAAUACAUACUACCUUGGGACACCUUGGGUGCCUAACAGAGGCAAAUGCAAAUCCUCUCCAAAGACUCAUGUCUUCAACCUAGGCUACCUAAGAUUCUGCUAUGGUUUGAAUAUUUUUCCCUCCAAAACUCCUGUUGAAAUUUAAUCCCCAUUGUGGCCAUAUUGAGAGGUGGGGUCUUUAAGAGGUGAUUGGGUCAUAAGGGAUCUGCCCUCAUUAAUGGACGAAUCCAUUCAUGGAUUAAUGGAUUAAUGGGUUAUCACAGGAGAGGGACUGGUGGCUUUAUGAGGAGAAAAGAGACCUGAGCUAGCAUACUCAGUCCUCUUACCAUGUGAUGCCCUGCACCACCUUUGGACGCUUCAGAGUCCCCACCAGCAAGAAGGCCCUCAGCAGAUGUGGCCCCCUGACCUAAAACUUCCCAGCCUCCAUUAUUGUAAUAAAUAAAUCCUAUUCUUUAUAAAUUAUCUAGGUUCGUUAUUCUGUGAUAAGCAGUAGAAAACAGACUAAGACAAUUCCCAUGGAUAAAAGGUUUGAUUGAACAUAAAUUCACAAUCCAAAAUUUCAUACCAAAAGAAAGAUUCCCAUGCAUGAAUGCAAGCAGUAAAAACAGCUUUAUUAGACUUCCAGGAACUUCAGAUAACGAGCAAUCAGAUAGAGAGUAUAAAAUGAGUUUUAUAUUUUUAAAAGGUUUAAGGAAACAGUAUCAGGAAUAAGAUGUAACUAAGAACACACACAUAAACAAGGCCUGACAGGUUUUAUAAAAUAAAGUAGAACUUCUAAAAAAUAAAAAAGUGAUAAUCAAAUUUUAGAAUACAAUGGAAUACUUAAAUAACCAAAUUAGAUUCAGUUGUAAAAAGAAUUAGCAAACUGGAAAAAUCUGAGGGAAGUACCUAAAGUGCAGCACAGAGUUGCAAGAAUGGAAAAAUAUAAAAAACAUUGAAUAUGUGAGCAUUUGAAGGACACAUAUAUGUUGUACUGAUGAUAUUCUACAUGGAUGAAAGAGAAUGAGGGGAUAUGAGAAAUAUUUAAAGAGAUAAUUGGUGAGAAUUUUCCAGAACAGGUAGAAGACAUGAAUCGUUAGAUUCAGGAAGCACAAUAAAUCUCAAAUUCUCCUACUGCAUUUCAGCAUACAUCACACAUUUUAAUGAAAUAUAACUAUAUUUCCCAAAACAAACUGUUAAUGAGAAGAGUGGCGUUGUUUUACAUUUUUGCUAAUCUCUUUAAUGUCUAGUUUAGUAGAAUACUGUUGGAUUCUCAUAUGUGCUUUUGGAUUCAACCUGUUCCAAUAUCACAUGUCAUAUAGCCUUUGGAAAACAAAUCUGCAAGAGAAUGAGAAUGAAAAAGACAAAUUAUGUCUUAGCAUUAUUAUAAAUAUACUUUUGGCCUUGUGUAACUCCUGAAAAAUUCUCCAGGUUCUUCAAGGGUCUUUAGAACAUACUUGGAGGAACACUGAUUUAUGUAUUUAUUUAAAAAAAUUUUCUUUAGAGAUUAGGUCUUGCUUUGUUUCCCAGGCUGGAGUGCAGUGGUGCAAUCAUAGCUCACUGCACCCUUGAACUCUUGGGCUGAAGCAAUCCUCCUAUGUCAGCUUUCCAAGUAGCUGGGACAAUAGGGGCACACCACCAUGCCCAGCUAAUUUUUAAAAUUUUUUAGAGGUAGGGUCUCACUAUGCUGUCCAAGCUGGUCUCAAACUCCCAGCCUCAAGUGAUCCUCCUUCCUCAGCCUACUGAGUAUCUGGGAUUAUAGGUGUGAGACACUGUGACCAGCUAGGACCACUGAUUUUGUGUAAGUUUUUUAUUAUGGGUUAUGGGUGGUGGACUGGGUGUGUUACAAACAAAUAUUCUACACACGUACACACACAGGUACAUACACACACACAAACAACCAUAUAUGCUCUACAUGAAUCCCAGUUUUUCAGGGAAUUAGAAUACAUACAAUAAGGUACACUUGGAUUUGAAACUCAGGGGAUUUCAUUUCUCUUCCAUGAUUUAAAGGGUACUUCAGGAUCCUGCAAUACCAUCUUUGUGAACAUCAGGAAUAUUACGUUGGUACAUACAGAAAGAAGUCUUGAGUAAUACCAGAUAUUUUUGGUUAAUAAGAUG
rnacentral:lncRNA from 1 species